UACUCGAGUGGCGAACGGGUGAGUAACACGUGGGUGAUCUGCCCUGCACUCUGGGAUAAGCCUGGGAAACUGGGUCUAAUACCGGAUAUGACCAACUGUCGCAUGGUGGUUGGUGGAAAGCUUUUGCGGUGUGGGAUGGGCCCGCGGCCUAUCAGCUUGUUGGUGGGGUAAUGGCCUACCAAGGCGACGACGGGUAGCCGACCUGAGAGGGUGAUCGGCCACACUGGGACUGAGACACGGCCCAGACUCCUACGGGAGGCAGCAGUGGGGAAUAUUGCACAAUGGGCGCAAGCCUGAUGCAGCGACGCCGCGUGAGGGAUGACGGCCUUCGGGUUGUAAACCUCUUUCACCAGGGUACGAAGCGUGAGUGACGGUACCUGGAGAAGAAGCACCGGCCAACUACGUGCCAGCAGCCGCGGUAAUACGUAGGGUGCGAGCGUUGUCCGGAAUUACUGGGCGUAAAGAGCUCGUAGGCGGUUUGUCGCGUCGUCUGUGAAAUUCUGCAACUCAAUUGCAGGCGUGCAGGCGAUACGGGCAGACUUGAGUACUACAGGGGAGACUGGAAUUCCUGGGUGUA
rnacentral:rRNA from 1 species